GUUAUUUUUUUAGUGGAUCUGGGCGCUUAGGGUUUCAACCAAAUAACUGCCCUCCCAAAAUUCUAAUCCCUGCUUCUCACCCUCUACCCGGCCUUCAAAGAACUCUGGCUCCCAUUGGAGAAAUGGUCGACCACGACCAUAACGGAAUCCUUUUGACGCUGGGCACGGGUAAUCCGGUGAUAGAAUCGAGGCUAACAUCCUCCCAAGGAGCAACUGGUUCUGGAAGUGGCAUGUAUAAUCCAUGGGGAGAAGACUGACCUUUGGCUAACUAAGCCUCUUGGAGAAGCAAUUUCACCUUUCAGGAGAUUGAACCUGCAGGUUUUGGAUCGGAACGGGGUCGGUUCGGGUCGGGUUUCGGGCCGACAUGGGUUUCUGCACGGGACGGGUUUCAGAUCGCAACGGAUUUUGGGCCGACACGAGUUUCCGCACGAGGCGAGUUUCGGGUCGGGACGAGUUUUGUACCGUUUCGACCCGUACCUGAAAUUCCCUCAAUUUUCAUCGAAAACACUUGCCUGAUUUGAAGAGAUUUGGCAAAAACUACUGUAUGGAAGUGUUGUCCCUCUUUUGAUAUAUUCUGUGAUGGAGACUUCACAAGAACUAGCCAUCGGUCCAGUAGCUGUGGUGUCGCUGCUCAUAUCAUCAAUGAUCUCAAAACUCGUUGAUCCUGCUGCUGAUCCUGUUUCCUACAGAAAACUUGUUUCACUGCCACAUUCUUUGCCGGCACCUUCCAAGCACUUUUUGGAAUUUUAGGUUAGAUUUUCUUAUCGAUUUUCUAUCGCAUGCGGCCAUUGUAGGAUUUAUGGCGGGUACGGCCAUUGUUAUAGGUCUUCAACAACUCAAGAGCUUACUCGGGAUCGGUCAUUUUACUACAAAAACUGAUGUCGUCUCUGUGUUGGAAGCUGUUGUUAAUUAACUUCGCACUUCAUGGUAUCCUUUGAAUUUUGUUCUUGGAUGUUUGUUCCUUAUAUUCAUCCUCAUUACCAGAUUUAUUGUGAGUAGUCUUUACUUUAUUGUGAAUUGAUAAAGUGGAUGAUGUAUUAAUAGUACCUUAAGUUGAUCAAUGAUGAAAUUAACUCCAGGGAAAAAAGAACAAGAAACUAUUCUGGUUACCAGCCAUUUCUUUGGUUAUAUCAGUCAUUAUAUCCACCUUGAUAGUAUAUCUAACAAGAGCUAAUGAACAUGGGUUGCUGUA